rnacentral:rRNA from 1 species
UACGGAGGGGGCUAGCGUUGUUCGGAAUUACUGGGCGUAAAGCGCACGUAGGCGGCUUUGUAAGUUAGAGGUGAAAGCCCGGAGCUCAACUCCGGAAUUGCCUUUAAGACUGCAUCGCUUGAAUCCAGGAGAGGUGAGUGGAAUUCCGAGUGUAGAGGUGAAAUUCGUAGAUAUUCGGAAGAACACCAGUGGCGAAGGCGACUUACUGGACACAUAUUGACGCUGAGGUGCGAAAGCGUGGGGAGCAAACAGG